UACGGAGGGAGCUAGCGUUGUUCGGAAUUACUGGGCGUAAAGCGCACGUAGGCGGCUUUGUAAGUUAGAGGUGAAAGCCCGGGGCUCAACUCCGGAAUUGCCUUUAAGACUGCAUCGCUUGAAUCCAGGAGAGGUGAGUGGAAUUCCGAGUGUAGAGGUGAAAUUCGUAGAUAUUCGGAAGAACACCAGUGGCGAAGGCGGCUCACUGGAGCUGGUAUUGACGCUGAGGUGCGAAAGCGUGGGGAGCAAACAGG
rnacentral:rRNA from 1 species